CAGAUGUUAAUGUGACUUCAGUGGAACAUUUUCCAGCCUCUGUGAUUGUGGAAAUUCCUGGCUCCGUCAUUGCCAGCCUCAGGUAGGCUUCACUUGCUGUGUCAAUGUGAGGGAUUGCUUCUGUAUUGAAGGAAAUGUUUGGUGAAAACUGAUCCCCAGAGAUGCAAACUCACCACUUUGUUGACUAAGUCUCAGUAAGUCAAAGUGCUGAUGCCCAACAGCUUGCGAAGGUUGCUCAGUAUUUGCUAGCUGCUUGGAAGAACAGUUAGUCUCCAAGGAAGCACUGGAGAGAUGCUUGUGGGAUUUCCUGCUUCAUGGGUCAAAAUAAUGUAACAAACCUUGAACAACAUCCACCCUUGAGUCUGUGAAGGUAUCAUUUACCACUCCAACUCAGGUUUAAAAACAACAACCCAACAAUAUCUCAAGGGAAGCACUUUCAAAAUUGUUACUAUUAAUAUUUUUGAAUUAUGAACAACAACAGACCAAGUCUGUGGUGGUAGUUCCACACAACUGGGAAGUGGGGCCUGGUGCCUUGUAAAUAUUUAGGAUUAUAUAGUCUGAGUAAAUGGCAUCCAGUUUAGAUCAGAGCUAGUGCAUUCUCAGGUGAGUCCUUUUCCUUCUAGCCAGCUAUCACACAAGUUUUUUUAUGUAAAGAGUUUUUAAACAUUCAUUUAAUUUAUUGAAAAAUCCAUUUUGAUUUUUUUGUUUUGCUUUUUUCUAGUUACUGCUGAUAUGUGUGAUCCUGUUGACGAGUUUCUGCAAGCAAUGCUGAAUAAAUCAGAUGAAGAAUUUAAGGAGGUAGCUGAAAAGUAUGCCGAGGACGACCAUGGGGUAGAAGCCUCAAUGAAGCUAAAAAAGUGUGCAGAUAAACUGACAAGCGAGCAAAAUUCUGCUUACCUUGAAGUGGCGGUAAUUAUCAGUUUUGCCAUUUUCUUUUCUUGCUUUUUGCGGCACAAGCCAACAAGCAGAUUCAGGAUUUGCAAUCAAUCUUUGUUUUCCUCUCUGUUUAAAAAAGUUAUAUUAACACAGAGAUCAAAGGUCAUAAGAUAUAAUAUCCUGGUCCAAAAAGCACUCAUAAACCUUGUCCUGCCUUCUUCCCCAUAGAUAACUGUAUCUCAAUUGUUAUGGUGUUGUACCUGAAUAUGGUUACAAUAUAAAUAAAAUUUGAAGCAAGCAAGCCAGGUCAGGCCAGCUGACCUAAAUUAAACUAUGAGCCAGUUUUCUCCCGUUCAAUUGCUUACAUGCCAUUGGGCCAUCUGCUCCCAGUACACCUGAAUCACCCAAAAGUAACCAGAGCUGCACUGUGUACCCAUAACCCCCUGCUUCUUUGUCCCGCAACACUCUGUAUUGACCUGGAUUUCAUUUCAUUUCAGAAAAAUGUAAUGGCCAAAUGCAAAGAAAGCUGGAAGGAGGAUUGAUCCAUGGAUGAAUCCAAGCUGAUUCCACAGGCUGACUACUAGCAUCAGUUGCUGCAAAGCAACACUCAUUGAACCAUUCUUCUACUUCUUCUGUACUGUCACUAUUCCGUC